UGGGGAAUAUUGGACAAUGGGCGCAAGCCUGAUCCAGCCAUGCCGCGUGAGUGAUGAAGGCCUUAGGGUUGUAAAGCUCUUUUAGCGGGGAAGAUAAUGACGGUACCCGCAGAAAAAGCCCCGGCUAACUUCGUGCCAGCAGCCGCGGUAAUACGAAGGGGGCUAGCGUUGCUCGGAAUUACUGGGCGUAAAGCGCGCGUAGGCGGUCCACCAAGUCGGGGGUGAAAGCCCGGGGCUCAACCCCGGAAUGUCCUCCGAGACUGUUGUACUGGAGUUCGGGAGAGGAGAGCGGAAUUCCCAGUGUAGAGGUGAAAUUCGUAGAUAUUGGGAAGAACACCGGUGGCGAAGGCGGCUCUCUGGCCCGCAACUGACGCUGAGGCGCGAAAGCGUGGGGAGCAAACA
rnacentral:rRNA from 1 species